rnacentral:lncRNA from 13 species
AUCCAGAUUUUUUUGUUGAGUAUUAUUAUGAUAUAGUUUUUAACCUAUCUGUGUAUUUAUAUUUAAAGUGGGAUUCUUAUAAGUAACAUAGAGUUACAUUAAAAAUGGUUUAAAAAAUCAACUCUGAUACUCUCUGAUGGUAAUUGGUAUAUUUAGACUAUUCACAUUAUAAAUUAUUAUUGACUUAACUGGUUUAAUAUCUACCAUAAUAAAGCUGGUUUAAUGUGGCAGAUAUAGCUUGUUUCUAUUUGUUGUUUUGCUCUUUGUUUCUUUUUUUCUCUCCUUUUUUUUUCUGCCUUCUCUGGUUUAAUAAAGCAUUUAAAUGAUUCCAUUUUCUUUAUUUUCCUGCCAUACGAAUUAUAAUUAUUUUUAAAAAUCUUGGUAGCUACAUUAGAGUUCACAAGAUAAAUUUAUAACGAAUCUAAAUCCACUCUCAAAUGCCACAGUACCACUUCACAGGUGGUACAGGUACUUUAUAACAGAGUAGCCCCAAUACUUCCCUUUUUGCUCUCUCAGCAUUGCUGUCAUUCAUUUUAGGUUAUCUAUAUGCUAUAAUCAUCCAGUACACUCACUUUAUUAUUAUCUUGAACAAACAAUUACCUAUGUAGUAACAUAUUUCAAAAUUGUUGCUUUGCCCUCUCUCUUCCUGGAACAUCAGGAGAUUUUGCUCUGUUCUUCACCAUGAGAAUUUGAUGAGUCUCCAGAAGUUCACUCACUCUUAAGCUAGUCCACAUGCAGACCAUAGCAGUUCCUCACCAAUUAAGUGUUCCUCCAAUUUAUGGCUCCAAGUGGCUACUGCUUAAGAUGGGGUCUCAGCCUGUUGCCCACGCUGGAGUGCUGUGGCAUGAUGUCAGCUCACUGCAACCUCUGUCUCCUGGGUUCAAUCGAUUCUCCUGCCCUCAGCCUCCUGAGUAGCUGGGAUUACAGGCACAUGCCACCACGCCCAGGUAAUUUUUGUAUUUUUUGUAGAGACAGGGUUUCUCAAUUUUGGCCAGGCUGGUCUCGAACUCCUGACCUUAGGUGAUCCACCCAUCUCGGCCUCCGAAAGUGCCGGGAUUACAGACAUGAGCCACCGUGCCCAGCGUGAUACAGAAUUUUUAACUGCCUGGUAUAUUAACCCUUUUAUCUUAUA